rnacentral:rRNA from 1 species
GACGAACGCUGGCGGCGUGCUUAACACAUGCAAGUCGAACGGAAAGGCCCUGCUUUUUUGGUGUGCUCGAGUGGCGAACGGGUGCGUAACACGUGAGUAACCUGCCCUUGACUUUCGGAUAACUUCAGGAAACUGGGCCUAAUACCGGAUAGGAUCUCCCGCUCCAUUGUGGGGGUUGGAUAUUUUCGGCGGUUGGGGAUGGACUCGCGGCUUAUCAGCUUGUUGGUGGGGUAGUGGCUUACCAAGGCUUUGACGGGUAGCCGGCCUGAGAGGGUGACCGGCCAAAUUGGGACUGAGAUACGGCCCAGACUCAUACGGGAGGCAGCAGUGGGGAAUAUUGCACAAUGGGCGGAAGCCUGAUGCAGAAACGCCGCGUGCGGGAUGAAGGCCUUCGGGUUGUAAACCGCUUUCGCCUGUGACGAAGCGUGAGUGACGGUAAUGGGUAAAGAAGCACCGGCUAACUACGUG